GUAGGGGGCAAGCGUUGUCCGGAAUCAUUGGGCGUAAAGCGCGUGUAGGCGGCCAGAUAAGUCCGCUGUGAAAACUCGAGGCUCAACUUCGAGCUGUCGGUGGAAACUAUCUGGCUAGAGUCCGGAAGAGGAGAAUGGAAUUCCUGGUGUAGCGGUGAAAUGCGCAGAUAUCAGGAAGAACACCCGUGGCGAAGGCGGUUCUCUGGGACGGUACUGACGCUGAGACGCGAAAGCGUGGGGAGCGAACAGGAUUAGAUACCCUGGUAGUCCACGCCGUAAACGAUGGGUGCUAGGUGUGGGCGGUGUCGACUCCGUCCGUGCCGAAGCUAACGCAUUAAGCACCCCGCCUGGGGAGUACGGCCGCAAGGCUAAA
rnacentral:rRNA from 1 species